ACCGCGGUAGCCCAGUUGGUAGUUGCUUCGACAGUACAGAUGCCGAAGGUCGCAGGUGCAAAUCCUGCCUGCGGUA